GAUGAACGCUGGCGGCGUGCCUAAUACAUGCAAGUCGAGCGAACGGACGAGAAGCUUGCUUCUCUGAUGUUAGCGGCGGACGGGUGAGUAACACGUGGAUAACCCACCUAUAAGACUGGGAUAACUUCGGGAAACCGGAGCUAAUACCGGAUAAUAUUUUGAACCGCAUGGUUCAAAAGUGAAAGACGGUCUUGCUGUCACUUAUAGAUGGAUCCGCGCUGCAUUAGCUAGUUGGUAAGGUAACGGCUUACCAAGGCAACGAUGCAUAGCCGACCUGAGAGGGUGAUCGGCCACACUGGAACUGAGACACGGUCCAGACUCCUACGGGAGGCAGCAGUAGGGAAUCUUCCGCAAUGGGCGAAAGCCUGACGGAGCAACGCCGCGUGAGUGAUGAAGGUCUUCGGAUCGUAAAUCUCUGUUAUUAGGGAAGAACAUAUGUGUAAGUAACUGUGCACAUCUUGACGGUACCUAAUCAGAAAGCCAGGGCUAACUACGUG
rnacentral:rRNA from 1 species